UAAGGAAUAUUGGUCAAUGGAGGGAACUCUGAACCAGCCAUGCCGCGUGCAGGAAGACGGCCCUCUGGGUUGUAAACUGCUUUUAUUCGGGAAUAUACCACAUUACGUGUAGUGUGCUGAAUGUACCGAAGGAAUAAGGAUCGGCUAACUCCGUGCCAGCAGCCGCGGUAAUACGGAGGAUCCGAGCGUUAUCCGGAUUUAUUGGGUUUAAAGGGUGCGUAGGCGGCACUUUAAGUCAGGGGUGAAAGACGGCAGCUCAACUGUCGCAGUGCCCUUGAUACUGAAGUGCUUGAAUGCGGUUGAAGACGGCGGAAUGAGACAAGUAGCGGUGAAAUGCGUAGAUAUGCGGAGGAACACCGAUGGCGAAGGCAAUCCCCUGGACCUGUACUGACGCUCAUGCACGAAAGCGUGGGGAGCAAACA
rnacentral:rRNA from 1 species